rnacentral:rRNA from 1 species
GACGAACGCUGGCGGCGUGCUUAACACAUGCAAGUCGAACGGAAAGGCCCUGCUUGCAGGGUACUCGAGUGGCGAACGGGUGAGUAACACGUGGGUGAUCUGCCCUGCACUUCGGGAUAAGCCUGGGAAACUGGGUCUAAUACCGGAUAGGAGCCAUUUUUAGUGUGAUGGUUGGAAAGUUUUUUCGGUGUAGGAUGAGCUCGCGGCCUAUCAGCUUGUUGGUGGGGUAAUGGCCUACCAAGGCGGCGACGGGUAGCCGGCCUGAGAGGGUGGACGGCCACAUUGGGACUGAGAUACGGCCCAGACGCCGACGGGAGGCAGCAGUGGGGAAUAUUGCACAAUGGGCGCAAGCCUGAUGCAGCGACGCCGCGUGGGGGAUGACGGCCUUCGGGUUGUAAACUCCUUUCGCUAGGGACGAAGCUUUUUGUGACGGUGCCUAGAUAAGAAGCACCGGCUAACUACGU